UACGGGGGGGGCAAGCGUUGUUCGGAAUUACUGGGCGUAAAGGGCGCGUAGGCGGCCUUCUCAGUCGGACGUGAAAUCCCUCGGCUUAACCGAGGAACUGCGUCCGAGACUGAAAGGCUUGAAUCCGGGAGAGGGAUGUGGAAUUCCCGGUGUAGCGGUGAAAUGCGCAGAUAUCGGGAAGAACACCCGUGGCGAAGGCGGCUCUCUGGGACGGUACUGACGCUGAGACGCGAAAGCGUGGGGAGCGAACAGG
rnacentral:rRNA from 1 species